GCGGCGCGGGGGGCGCCGGCACUUACGUAAUUGCCGUGGCGCCCGGCGGCAGCGCGCGGGGCGGCGCUGCCAUCGCAGCCUCCGCAGCCUCCGCACACGCGCAGCCUCCGCAGCCGCCGCACACGCAGCCGCCGCACAGGCGCAGCCGCCGCGGCGGGGACUGAGCGCUGCCGCCCUCGCUGAGGAGGGACCGGAGCGCGGCGUCUCUCCCAGCCUUACCGCUGCCUUGGUGUGUGGCGUCAUCAAGUGGUAUCUGUACGGCGUGUAAAAACCAAACCCUCGGCCCCGACGGGAGCGUUGUCCUUUCCAAGCAAUUGCGCAAGACCCGGAAGCCGUGCUCCUGAGGCACGUACCUGCCGCCUAACCACGCAGACGGGUAAUCCGCCGGUGGAUCGUGCUUCGGCUUUUGAGUCGCGGAAAAUGGAUAUGGAGUCUUGUUAAUUGUAACAGACCUCAGAGCCUGCCAUGACUAAGAAGGGGACUUAAAACCAGCCUUAGCCCAAGAGAUCAACCAUUGCCUCCAGCUGGGAGCUUCACAAGCUUUUUUUUUUUUUUGCCCACCUUCCUCUUGCCAGUGGAUAUGCACACACAUAAAGAUGCAGUCAACAUGCUACUAGAAAUGUCAGGUGUGAGCUCUAGCAAUGAGCUUGAAGACCAACUUGCUCCUGAAUACUGGUGGUCUACUUAAGGCCUUAGGCACGCUAGAGAACCUAUGCAAGGAAGCGUAUGCAGCACACAUUAUGUCCCAUGCUAUGUGUAUUGUACUAAUAAGAUGCACUGGGAGUUCUCAGGACUGUCAAAAAUGAAUGUAAAUUCCAAAACUUAAGGCAAUUUUUUAAAUGGAAGGGUACCUGCCAUUUUCACAAUGGAAAAUACUUGUGAUAAAUCACAUAGCUAGAAAAAGUAAAUGCAGUAACUCAAGACUGCAUUAAUAACUUGGAUUCUUGAAAUACAGAAAGAAGUCUUUGAGGCAAUAAAUUCCUCUUUGGGUGAACAGUCCUGGAAAUAAUAUUCCAGAUGAAGUUUGGUCACCUAUUUGCUUAUAUGUUUCUUAUAAAUUAUAAUCAGCCAUACACCCAGACCUGAUUUUUCUUCCACAGUACUUGCAAAGAUACUUUCUGUAUUUCACAUUACUUGUACUCUGUGGUCAGGAGAGACAAGAACCUUCUACAUCAAGAUCCUUUACCUAAGGGUAAGGAGAAAUACAGGGCUGAGUACUCAUGUGGCUGAAGGAACAUAAUCAUAAUUUUUCCUCUUUUCCUGAGGUACAGAAAAAAAUAGCAUGGAUAAAACUCAUAGCUAGCAUUCUGCACAAAGGGAGUGGAAGGCUUUCAGGAACUUCCAACUCCUUUAGAUUAAUCUAUAUUUAUUACUACAUGACUUGAACCCUCUUAAUGCUACCUCUGAUUUUGGUUUAAGGAGUAUUGCUGAGCCUAUACUGAGUUAUAGUACUACAUGGAGGAUACUGAAAAGUGGCAUUUGAGAAGUAAGUAACAAAAACAUAACAGAAGUAAUGUCUGUCAUCUCUAGCAUUGAUUUACUCCUUUGCAUUCGCUUGUGUCCACUCCUCUUGGGCCCUCUGUAAUACAAGCUUUAGUAUGACGCAGCCUGAAAUUCAGAGUCAGUUGAAUUCCACAGUAAAGGUCCCAGUGCCUCCAAAGAGGAGAGGCUUUAAUUCCUUACUUUGUUAAAGUCCACAAACAGUGCAACAUAGUAACUGAAAUAACAGACAGUUUGAAGCAAAGUAAUAGAAUACUCUUUAAGAUUAUGAUCUAUUCAACAUCUUUGUAUAUAUUUGUGUUUCUUAAAUGUGUGUAUAUGCAUACAUGCUGGAAUUAAUUGAAGAUGUGGUGACUUCUGCUAUAAUCCUUGCUUUCCUUGCAUUACAUUCUUUGUAGGAGGUUUAAUCCCUAACAAAGCAAUCACAGAAGACUGUAUUCACCAAUCUUUUAUAUACUUAAUGUGAUGAGUGCUCAGAAAAGCUUCAUAGUAACCAAGGCCUCUAGAGCUUCCCCUUCAAAAUGAGUAGCAGUGAAAGUUUUCGUAAAAUAGAUGAUGCUGUGAUUUUGUAAAGAUAAAUGCCAGAAAUAAAAUACGUUAAAGGAAGUCAUUUGACUACAGUUUAAAGUAUUAAUAAAAAUAUUUCUAUGUGUCUGGGA